GACGAACCGUGCGAACGUUGUUCGGAAUCACUGGGCUUAAAGGGCGCGUAGGCGGGCUGCCAAGUCAGGGGUGAAAGCCCACGGCUCAACCGUGGAAGUGCCUUUGAUACUGGCGGCCUUGAGGGAGGUAGGGGCGUGCGGAACUUCCGGUGGAGCGGUGAAAUGCGUAGAUAUCGGAAGGAACACCGGUGGCGAAAGCGGCGCGCUGGACCUCUUCUGACGCUGAGGCGCGAAAGCCAGGGGAGCAAAGCGGG
rnacentral:rRNA from 1 species